UACGUAGGGUGCGAGCGUUAAUCGGAAUUACUGGGCGUAAAGGGCGCGCAGGCGGCGUCGCAAGUCAGGCGUGAAAUCCCCGGGCUUAACCUGGGAACUGCACUUGAAACUACGAUGCUCGAGUAUGGCAGAGGGAGGUGGAAUUCCACGUGUAGCGGUGAAAUGCGUAGAGAUGUGGAGGAACACCGAUGGCGAAGGCAGCCUCCUGGGCCAAUACUGACGCUCAUGCACGAAAGCGUGGGGAGCAAACAGG
rnacentral:rRNA from 1 species